AAAUAUCUUAUCAGGGUUCACAAGUUCAGGAUAUGUAAUUGAAAACUUCACAAUUCUUAUCAGCAAUUGAAAUCAGAAUUCAAACUUACAGAAGAAUUGUCGAAUUGGAUUCAUCACAUUUUACUUAAAAACCAAAGGUUAGGCUGCUGAUCAGUCACGCACUAACCCCGAACAUGGCACACAGCCCUGUUCUCUAUACUGGAUCCAAGGCACACAUUGGCCUAUAAUUGACCACGAAUCUGGUCUGACCACGAAUCUGGUCCACAUAUUUUAUAAAACUAAUCCAAUUCUAACAAUUUAAAUUAAUAGACAAAUCAAUCAACAGAACAGAAUCAUAAUCAUUAUCAACAACAGAAAUAUUUCAAAUCAACUUUUGGGAAUCAACAUUUCAUAAACCACAGUCUGUCUUUUGAUAAAUC
rnacentral:lncRNA from 1 species